AACGAACGCUGGCGGCGCGCCUAAUACAUGCAAGUCGAGCGAGAAGACGUAGCAAUACGUUUGUAAAGCGGCGAACGGGUGAGGAAUACAUGGGUAACCUACCCUCGAGUGGGGAAUAACUAGCCGAAAGGUUAGCUAAUACCGCGUACGCUCCUUGGACUUCGGUUCAGGGAGGAAAGCGAUACCGUGGGUAUCGCGCUCUUGGAUGGGCUCAUGUCCUAUCAGCUUGUUGGUGGGGUGAUGGCCUACCAAGGCGACGACGGGUAGCCGGCCUGAGAGGGCGACCGGCCACACUGGGACUGAGAUACGGCCCAGACUCCUACGGGAGGCAGCAGUGGGGAAUAUUGGACAAUGGGGGCAACCCUGAUCCAGCAAUGCCGCGUGAGUGAUGAAGGCCU
rnacentral:rRNA from 1 species